UUGAAAGGGAAACGAUUGAAGUCAGUCGUACCCUCGGGUAAUCAGCCUUUUGGGUGUGAUUUUGUGGAGCGUGAAGAGUUAAACGCCUUCAUGCCUGCAUAUUCGUGCAUUUUGGGUGUACUUGCCCGUAUGGUUGGUUAACAUCAAUUUUGGUGGUCAUAAAAUGACUGGAGGAAUGUAGCUUCGAUCUCGUAUUGAAGUGUUAUAGCCUUCGGUAGAUGUGAUGAUCGAGAUUGAGGAUUGCAACGGAUACCCUUCGGGGCUACCUGUCUGAUCUCUGAUCGUUGCUCUGGUGCCGAAAGCUUGCUUACGGUUUCAAAGUCGAUGGUCAAUAGGUUAGAACGGGUUAAAUUCGUUAAGGAUGUUGACGUA
rnacentral:rRNA from 1 species